rnacentral:tRNA from 1 species
UCCGCGAUAGCUUAAUGGUGGAGCAUUCGGCUGUUAACCGAAGGGGUUGAAGACCUAAAUGGUCUUCAACGGGUGGCAUGCCGAUGGUAAUCGGCGUUUUAUGACACCCCGGACGGAGUGUUCGAGUCCUCUUCGCGGAG